UAUGUGAUCGUCUCUCGCAUAUCAAUAAGCGGAGGAAAAGAAACUAACAAGGAUUCCCCUAGUAACGGCGAGUGAAGCGGGAAGAGCUCAAAUUUGAAAUCUUAAAGGGUUUCCCUUUACGAAUUGUAGUUUAAAGAAGUGUUUUCUGUUGAGGUUUUGGUAAAGUUCUUUGGAAUAGGACAUCAUAGAGGGUGAGAAUCCCGUAUUUGACCUUUACUUUCAACUUUGUGAUACACUUUCAAAGAGUCGGAUUGUUUGGGAAUGCAGUCCAAAAUGGGUGGUAAAUUUCAUCUAAAGCUAAAUAUUGGCGAGAGACCGAUAGCGAACAAGUACCGUGAGGGAAAGAUGAAAAGAACUUUGAAAAGAGAGUUAAACAGUACGUGAAAUUGUCAAAAGGGAAGCGUUUGACACCAGUGUUGUUUUUCUGAAAAUCAAUUAAAGAACUGUUUAUGCUAAGCUGUUUAGACUUUAUCAGCUAACUGUUUAGUUUUGAGCUUUUCUUUAAUGCACUUUUCAGUUAACAAGUCAACAUCAAUUUCUUUUGCUGUAAAAAAGCUUGAGGAAGGUGGCCUGAGAUUCGUCUUAAGUGUUUAUAGCCUCUUGCCUAUGCAGUCGGAGAGAUUGAGGUCUGCAGCGUAGAUCCUUCGGGGCUAAAUGCAUUUGUGCUAAGUUAUAGCAUUUUAUAGACAACUUGUUGACUAUGAUUUGUCUUGUAGCUUACUCGCUUAUGUUAUUUUACCUACGCUUAGGAUGUUGAGUAGCGACAUACGCAC
rnacentral:rRNA from 1 species